UACGUAGGUGGCAAGCGUUGUCCGGAUUUAUUGGGCGUAAAGCGCUCGCAGGCGGUCUUUUAAGUCUGAUGUGAAAUCUCGCGGCUCAACCGCGAACGGUCAUUGGAAACUGGAGGACUUGAGUGCAGAAGAGGAGAGUGGAAUUCCACGUGUAGCGGUGAAAUGCGUAGAGAUGUGGAGGAACACCAGUGGCGAAGGCGACUCUCUGGUCUGUAACUGACGCUGAGGAGCGAAAGCGUGGGGAGCGAACAGG
rnacentral:rRNA from 1 species